ensembl:lncRNA
ACAUCAUGUGUCAUUCACUGGUGAGAAGACUUUAUAGCACACUUAGUAAAAGUACUACAAUACCAGGAAGGAAGAUCGGGUUGUUGAUGUUUGUCUGCCAUUCUCGCUCUGUCUGCACAGUGUGCAUGAACGCGCUGAUGACGUAUCGUGUCUGCGUGAAGAGGGUGCACAGAGGCUUGUCGUUCGGAGUCUACAGCCUGCGGGAAUAAGCCAGAGAACGGAGUUACUGUGGCAAAGCCACUCAUCGCUUCUAUCAGCUGAGUUUCCUGUUACAAAAUCAACACAGUUUCUUAAUCUACAAAUACUCAGAGGUCAAUGGUCUACUCUGGAGGCAGCCCAUUAAAAGCCUUGUUCUACUGCCAACAUCUGCUUCUCCUACAUACGCAUCAAAUUAUCUCUUUAUUCCAAGAGGUCGCAAGGACACAAAAGUGGCAAUGUGUAAAUUUGAAUUCCCUUUAUCAGGACCUGAUUCCCUCUUCAGCUCUGAAUUUCACUGGUGUUGUUAACUGGUCAACUGGUUAGUCUU